UUCUAACGUCGACCCCUUAUCGGGGUUGCGGACAGUGCCUGGUGGGUAGUUUGACUGGGGCGGUCUCCUCCCAAAGAGUAACGGAGGAGCACGAAGGUGGGCUAAUCACGGUUGGACAUCGUGAGGUUAGUGCAAUGGCAUAAGCCCGCUUGACUGCGAGAAUGACAAUUCGAGCAGGUGCGAAAGCAGGUCAUAGUGAUCCGGUGGUUCUGAAUGGAAGGGCCAUCGCUCAACGGAUAAAAGGUACUCCGGGGAUAACAGGCUGAUACCGCCCAAGAGUUCAUAUCGACGGCGGUGUUUGGCACCUCGAUGUCGGCUCAUCACAUCCUGGGGCUGAAGUCGGUCCCAAGGGUAUGGCUGUUCGCCAUUUAAAGUGGUACGCGAGCUGGGUUUAGAACGUCGUGAGACAGUUCGGUCCCUAUCUGCCGUGGGCGUUGGAAGAUUGAAGGGGGCUGCUCCUAGUACGAGAGGACCGGAGUGGACGAACCUCUGGUGUUCGGGUUGUGUCGCCAGACGCAUUGCCCGGUAGCUAAGUUCGGAAUCGAUAACCGCUGAAAGCAUCUAAGCGGGAAGCGAGCCCUGAGAUGAGUCUUCCCUGAUACUUUAAGUAUCCUAAAGGGUUGUCGGAGACUACGACGUUGAUAGGUCAGGUGUGUAAGUGCUGUGAGGCAUUGAGCUAACUGAUACUAAUUGCCCGUGAGGCUUAACCAUACAACACCCAAGGGGUUU
rnacentral:rRNA from 1 species